CCUAGAAAAUAUGCCCGAGAGGUAAAAUAUUAGUGAUGUUAAAUACAUGGAACUGUCUUGUUUUCUUUUUAAUCAUCAAAAUGCAUUAGUGUGAUUGUGUUUAUGUAAGCGUAGAAGCUGAAGUUGCAAGUCACUUCCCUUCAGCAUUUUUUAAGACCCUGGUCUACUCUCUAGCUAUUUGUGUUGUGGUUAAGAUUUCUCAAGUCAUUUUGAGUUCUAAUUUUUUAUUUGUGACUUUUAUUUUGGAUUGCAUUCCCUGGAUGCUUUAAAUUGUUGUGUUUGUUUCCAGCAUUUCAUAAUAACAUGUCUAUCUUUUUUUUUUUUUUUUUUUUAAGAUUCAUUUAUUUAUUUUAGGAGCAGGGAGGGUCAGAGGGAGAGGGAUAGAAUCUCAAGCAGACUCCCUGCUGAGAGUGGAGCCCGACCUGGGGCUCUGUCUCACUACCCUGAUAUCAUGACCUGAGCCAAAACCAAGAGUGGGACGUUUAACUGACUGAGUCAAGCAGGCACUCCAAGAUGAUGUGUCUUUAGUAUGAGUUUGCAUUUGCUGACUCCACUAAGCUCAGCCCCAGAUUCAUCCCCACCCAGCCCAAAUCUUAUUAGGUCAACCUUUCUAUGAAUUGAGAAGAACAAGUGAAUGAUGUGUCAAUACAUCAGAGAGGAUCAAGAUGGAACAUAUCACCUUGGGGUGCUUAUUGAAGUGAGCUGUUUGCAUUGUUUCUGACUCUGGCAGGAAAAAUGAAAUGGGAUUACUUCCUAAAUAAACUCUGCUACGGAAACAAUCACCACAUUUUGACCUUGCAAUUUUCUACAGUAGAAAAGCAAGUGUGGUGGUAGGAGCUGGAGCAGCCACCUGUACCAAUAUACAAAAGGAAUAUGUGGAGAAAGGUGUAUGUGCUUGUACAUGAAAGGGCUGCAUGAAGUAACAGAAGAUGAAGGACCUGCAUUCUUGAUGAUUAUGGGGUGGCCCCAUCAGCUAUAAACCACUCGCUUGGACUUUUUUAUAUAAUGGAAAAAUAAAGUAACUUUGAAG
rnacentral:lncRNA from 12 species